rnacentral:rRNA from 1 species
AGCGACAGGCCUAACACAUGCAAGUCAGGGGCAGCACAAGGAGCAAUCUGAGGUGGCGACCGGCGCACGGGUGAGUAACACGUAUGCAACCUGCCUGUAAGCGGGGAAUAACCCGUUGAAAGACGGACUAAUACCGCAUAAUACUAAAUUACUGCAUGGUAAUUUAUUUAAACAUUUAUGGCUUACAGAUGGGCAUGCGCAUGAUUAGCUAGUUGGAGAGGUAACGGCUCCCCAAGGCAACGAUCAUUAGGGGUUCUGAGAGGAAGGUCCCCCACACUGGUACUGAGACACGGACCAGACUCCUACGGGAGGCAGCAGUGAGGAAUAUUGGUCAAUGGACGAGAGUCUGAACCAGCCAAGUCGCGUGCAGGAAGAAUGUUCCCUAUGGAUUGUAAACUGCUUUUGCAGGGGAAUAAAGUGCAUCACGUGUGAUGUUUUGUAUGUACUCUGCGAAUAAGGAUCGGCUAACUCCGUGCCAGCAGCUGC